rnacentral:lncRNA from 1 species
UCAUGUUGUUGAUCGGAGUUUUGAAAAAUUGUGGAAGCAUUUAAAAAGCGCCCUGUGCAGAUUAUAUGUCAAAUCAUGGCUUCUCCACCUGCAGGUUGAUGACAAUGAAACUAAUGACCAUGUUAACAUCAGUGGAAAAGCAAACCGGGAGAAGAAACGACAACAUCGUUUUGAAGGCCUGCAUAGAGAAUUGCUAAGGGAACAACAAGUUUGAAAGUUCUUGCCAGUCUCUUCAAAUAUUCAUAGGACCAGGAAGGGGAACCUAGGAGUGGGAGAAGUGCCUGUGACUGAUAUGCACUGUCAGAUAGAAAUCCGGAUCAAACGGGAAUCUGAAAUAGUGAAAUAGCAGAAAUCAUGAAUUACAUACUGUAUAAUCUGCUCUAAAUUUAAAACACAAGCAUUUGAAUCUAAAAUGUGUUAAAUGCAAAACAGUUUUACUUACAAAAUGAAUCUUUCAGUAAAUUCUAAAUGCAGCUGAAAAAAUAUAUACAUGAAAUGUGUCAAAACAGUGCAAGUGAAGUUCGAAUUUUUGUUAUAGACAAAACUGAAGAACUUGUAUCCAGUUCAUUUUCGAGAUGCGCAGUGUUAUUGGAAUUAUUUUCAGAUAAUUUGAAAUUCUACAAGGUGAAGACAUUUCAAAUAGUAUCACAAGAAAAAAAGUUUUAUGCACAAUGAAUUGUUUUUCAAAAAUUUACAGUCGUUUGUUCAUUGUUUUGCAAGUCCAUUACACUUAAACUUUACUUUAUUUAUUCUUAAUAUUUUUGUGAAUGGAUUAGUUUACUUAUUCACAAGGCAAAAUCAAGAAAUUGUUUGUUAAGGUUAAUGUUGUCUCAGCUAAGUGAUGGGCAGACUAUUUGUAGUGAUUCUGAGAAUAAUUAAAAUAAUUUGUCACAUAAAUCAGUAUUAAAUGAUCUGGCUGAAGGUUAUAUAUGAAAAAAAAAUGCAUUUUGUUUAGAUUGUUCUACACAGAACUUUUUUGCAAGAUUUUUUAUUAAAAUCAGUUUCGGAAGCUGCAUAAAAGAUGCUGCAAUUGAACCAUUUUAGCUUGACUAUUUGAACAAUAAGAAUAGCUAUCCUACUCGAUACGGCAUCAGCUUUGCGUCACACCUUGGUUAAGUUUUUGGUACCAGUUCACAUUUUGGCAAAACCUUUGGGGAUAAAGAUUUGAAACUUUCAACACUUGUAUAUCAUCACCAUAUCCAAUUUUAGGCAAGGGCACAUAACUCCAUCAAGGAUUUUGGCUGAAUUAGGGUACCUUUUAACUUGCAAAUCUUGAUUAAGUUUUUCUUACUAGUUCAUAUUUAGUGUAAACUGCUUGACAUAUGGCUUUGAAACUUUUAUCACUCGAUUAUUAUUAUAUAAUAGUCUGUAUCUGUAGGUAAGAGUGCUUGACAAGUAUUUUGGCUGAAUUAUGACUCGUUUUGGACUUGGAAAUUGGUACAGUUUCAUAACAAUCCAUGUUUUGUAAAACUGAUGUGUGGCUUUGAAACUUUGAACACUUGUUUUAUUAUAUGAUUGCCAUCUGUAAGCAAGAGUUCAUAACUCUAUCAACUAUUUUGGCUGAAUUAUGGCCUUUUUUGUACUUAGAAAUUGAUUCAGUUUGCGUACAAGUAUGUUUAGAAAUUGGUUCAGUUUGCAUACAUGUAUGUGUUUGUCAAUUUUAUUUUGACAUAUGGCUUUGGAACUUUGAACACUUACUAACUAUCAUGAUUUCCAUCUAUAGGCAAGAGUAGAUAACUCUGUCAACGAGUUUGGAUAAAUUAUGGUCUUUUUAGGAGUUGGAAAUUGGUUCAGUCAAACUUAUUGUAAUGAUUCAGCAAGAUAUUCCAUUAAAUAACGAUAAAUCUUGUGCAGAAUGACCAAUAUCUAAAUUUGUUCUCAACCGUUUUAAAUCACAUUUCUGUGUCAAAUACACAUUCUCUGCUAAACUUUUUGAAAUGUAGAUGUUGAAAAAUUUCACCCAAACUGUGGGUGAGUAGCUUUAAGUUUUUAGCUAGAAUGUACAAACUAUAUGCAGAGCUAUCCUACUUGUUUUCUGUCAGCAUCUAAAAGUAUCCGUUUUGGAACCGUAAUACGUUUACGCUUUGCCACGGAACACACAUAAAUAAAAAGGUGUUAUAACAGCAUGUGAGCGCGAGAAUCUCUGUUAACACACGUUUUCUCUUCUGUUAAGACACCCCGAAAAGUGGCAAUAACGGCAGUUUAUUUCUAGAAUUCAAGAUAAUGUUUCUUUACUACCAAGCUUUGAAAUAGUUAAACACGCUGCUUCUAUGACAGCUCUUGCUUUUAUAUGCUAUGACACUUUAUUACAUUCAAGCAAAAU